UACGUAGGGUGCAAGCGUUGUCCGGAAUUAUUGGGCGUAAAGAGCUUGUAGGCGGUUUGUCGCGUCUGCUGUGAAAUUUCGGGGCUCAACCCCGAACUUGCAGUGGGUACGGGCAGACUAGAGUGUGGUAUGGGAGACUGGAAUUCCUGGUGUAGCGGUGAAAUGCGUAGAUAUCAAGAGGAACACCUGAGGUGAAGACGGGUUGCUGGGCUGACACUGACGCUGAGGCGCGAAAGCCAGGGGAGCAAACGGG
rnacentral:rRNA from 1 species